GACGUGUGUUCUUCCGAUCUCCGCAUUGCGGAAUUUCUGGUUCGAACGUGCACGCGCGAAAGAACCAAGGGAACUUCCGCGAAAAUUCACGGACGUCCCUUCAAAUCGUAUUAAAUCUUUCCUGCGGCCAUGUACGGUCGACUUCUUCUACCUCGAAUCGAAUUAACACCAGUGGCUAACCGCCCACUUCUUACCCCUCGCCGAGGGGUUUCUUGCACGCGAUUCGACGCACGAGCACUUUGACGCGCGACUAAUCGACUUCCGUUUUCUCUUUGUGUUUCAGGUAAGUCGAGCGUUCACCUGUGUUACCUGUUGUCUCUCCGGGAUCAGGUAAAAUCUCGUCGAGGAUGCAUGAUUUUGUUACGCCGAACUUCUCACGAACUCAGGCCGAUCGACUCGAAUUUUUAUAAAUUUCACUGUCUUAUU